ensembl:ncRNA F52H3.9 ncRNA
AAAAAACUUGCUCCCGGUGAGGCUCGAACUCACGACCUUCAGAAUAUGAGACUGACGCGCU